rnacentral:rRNA from 1 species
CCUGUUAUAUGGGGCAGAAGGUGCCCGUUAUAUGAAAAGUUGACUCCACUGGACCCCAGCCAGGUUCAGAGACCCGACGAAGGACCAAGGCGCACUAAACUUAGGUGGCUCAUGAUCAAAUUCUUACGAGCUCACAGGGUUCGGAGUUUGUGAGUGACCGUUAGCAGAGCGAUCGAAGUGAAAAUUCGACGUCGAUCGGUAGAAUCAUAUAGUCGAGGUUGACCUUUGCGCAUUCGAGUUAAGAUCGAUCGAACCGGAUAACAAAAACAAACAUGAGUAAGCAAGAGAAGAAAUCUCUUAUGAGUAAGUAAGAAUCAGACUUCUUUACCUUGUACCAGAGAAACGUCCCUGAAUUGGUCGAGCUCAUAGAAGGCGCGCUGGGAGGCCGCUACCGUGUCUACCAACUUAACUGCUCGGCAACGGAACGAAACCGCCUUCCUCACCAUUGAUACCACACGGGCCACGAGGACCGCGACCGAUAGUUCUUCUAGUUGACCUUUCCGUUCCACCUUCUCGGUCAACAAGGUUACCGAUGCGAGGAGUAACGGUCACACUGAGAGUAGUGGCCCUAGAAGGGCAACGAACGUACAACACAGAGUUUCAAAAAGGGCUUAUACAGAUUUUCUGCGUGGGCACACUGGUCGUCACACCGACGUAUGAACAGGAGAUAAACGGAGUAGGAUGAGCGGACGAAAUAGAGCCCUUCUUAGAAUGGAGACUUUAUACACCAGCGGUAGCCGCCCCGGCAGUAAGAUCAACGGUAGCCCCAAGAGAAUUAGGACGCGAGGACACGGUUACGUAGCGUCGGCUUGUGCUAAUGAGGUUCAGGGUGCCCCCUUCGUCUCCUUUAUUUGUUCCUCGACCCGUGGUUCCUUCGUCUCUCUUAUUUGUUCCUUCGUCUCUCUUAUUUUUUCCUCCGUCUACUCUCUUCUUUCCUCUAGGUGCUAUAUGACCUGUUCUGUGUGCUCAAGUACAGGCCACAGUGGCCUUAAGACAAGGACCCGAACCUUCCAAACCGUGACCUUCCAGAGUAGUCGUGUACGGUACCCUAUGGGCUACGACAGGCCUCUGGUCAGUACAAGUCGAAGUAGAAGACGCGGUAGCCACACAGGGAUUACAAGGAGUGGUACUAGAUAGGAGAAUGCCAGUGUUGUCUUUUCCGUUCGUAACAUGCAUACUGGAAGCCGAAACUGGAAGAGUACUGACCACCAUGGCAACGUUAUGACUGGUAGUAAUACCUCUUUGAGUACCCUGUAUUUCCCGAAGACGAGAAUUCGAGGGGUCGGGAUUAGAAUAAAGUGCACCACAUGGCUGAGCACUAGUUUGGCUCUCAGCGUGACCCAUUUGUUGUUAGUGUUUGCUGAGAGGGUUAGAGGCUGCCUAGGUGCGGAAGAAGAGACCCUAGGGGGGAGGGGGGGUGGCCGCUGUUCGUUGUUCUCCGAUUUCGCCGCGGCGAACCUGACUGGUUCCAAUGCAAACGGCCCAAGACCCGGUACAGCCACUGUUGGUAGUCGUGACCAAGGGUGUUGGUGACCAAGGACUAUAAACGUCGCUGUCGAUAACGAAGACCAGAGAAAACCUCCGAGGAGUGCGUGUCGUUUUUAUUCCUGUGCCACCUUUGACGGUUACAACGAAGGAAGAAGUGAGUAAAUACGUAACGUCAACGAUGCCAGGAUAAGUGCCAUUACCGUACCCUCCGGCGGUUAUUUAACGUUCACUUGUGCACACGUUCGGCCGUCACUUGCUCUAAGUUCACAGUGGGAGGAUGACGUACAGUGUUUUUAAGUGCAAGUCGUAUACACCACAAUUGCGGCCUCAUAGCAUGAAUAACAUAUAGUCCACAAAUACCUAUUAUUAUUUUUCUCUUAUAAGGUCUUUUAACUGCAAAGGUGAGUUG